CUCUGGUGUGUAGCCGGUGCCUCUGUGUUCCGGUGCUCUGGUGGUUCCGGUGCUCUGGUGUUACCAGUGCUCUGGUGUUCCGGUGCUCUGUGUUCCGGUGCUCUGGUGUUCCGGUGCUCUGUGUUCCGGUGCUCUGGUGUUCCGGUGCUCUGGUGUUCCGGUGCUCUGGUUUUCUGGGGGCUCUGUGUUCUGUGUUCUGGGUGCGCUGUGUUCUGUGUUUCUGGGUGCUCGGGUUCCGGUGCGCUGUGUUCUGUUUCGGUGCUCUGUGUUUCUGGUGCCUGUGUUCUGGCUCUGGUGUCUCUUGUGUUCUUGUCUUGUGCUCUAGUUCUGGUUCUCUGUGUGGUGUUCUGGGUUCUGUGUUCUGGUGCUCUGUGUUCU
rnacentral:lncRNA from 1 species